rnacentral:rRNA from 1 species
UACGUAGGGGCAAGCGUUGUCCGGAUUCAUUGGGCGUAAAGAGCGUGUAGGCGGCCUGACAGGUCUGCUGUGAAAACUCGAGGCUCAACCUCGAGAUGUCGGCGGAAACCGUCUGGCUAGAGUCCGGAAGAGGAGAGUGGAAUUCCUGGUGUAGCGGUGAAAUGCGCAGAUAUCAGGAAGAACACCUAUGGCGAAGGCAGCUCUCUGGGACGGUACUGACGCUGAGACGCGAAAGCGUGGGGAGCGAAACAGG